rnacentral:lncRNA from 1 species
UUUUUUUUUUUUUUGUAACCCAUGAUAGAAUUUUUUGUAAUCCAUGAUCGAAUGUUUUGUAAUACAUGAUCGAAAUGAUUGUUUUUUUUUUAUAAUCCAUGAUCAAAAUGUUUGUUUUUUUUUUUGUAAUCCAUGAUUGAAUUUUUUGUUUUUUGCUUUUUUUGUAACCCAUGAUAGAGUUUUUUGUAAUCCAUGAUUGAAUUUUUUGUAAUCCAUGAUCGAACUGUUUUUU